rnacentral:rRNA from 1 species
GACGAACGCUGGCGGCGUGCUUAACACAUGCAAGUCGAACGGAAAGGCCCUGCUUUUGUGGGGUGCUCGAGUGGCGAACGGGUGAGUAACACGUGAGUAACCUGCCCUUGACUUUGGGAUAACUUCAGGAAACUGGGGCUAAUACCGGAUAGGAGCUCCUGCUGCAUGGUGGGGGUUGGAAAGUUUCGGCGGUUGGGGAUGGACUCGCGGCUUAUCAGCUUGUUGGUGGGGUAGUGGCUUACCAAGGCUUUGACGGGUAGCCGGCCUGAGAGGGUGACCGGCCACAUUGGGACUGAGAUACGGCCCAGACUACUACGGGAGGCAGCAGUGGGGAUAUUGCACAAUGGGCGGAAGCCUGAUGCAGCAACGCCGCGUGCGGGAUGACGGCCUUCGGGUUGUAAACCGCUUUCGCCUGUGACGAAGCGUGAGUGACGGUAAUGGGUAAAGAAGCACCGGCUAACUACGU